rnacentral:lncRNA from 1 species
GGCCAAAGGAGCAGUGGGCUGUUUGUGCUUGGAAGUCUCUGUGAUGCUGGCAAAGGUCUGAUGGUGAAACAGCCUCAGCUGUGGUUACUCUGGUUGCUGUUGGUGGUCCCAGCUAACAGCAGCAGCAGCUUCUACACGGGGCAGGAAGUGAGGAAAUUCACCUUUUUUCCUCUAAAGAGUAAUUUAUCUGAUGGCAGCAGGCGUCAAUCUAUUCCUUCCUUGGAGCAGAGUCUACUGAAAGGGUUAUUUGAGGAAUUGUUCUGGCUGCUGAAUUGGUUUUCUGCUGACUUGCAAGCAAACUCUGUGCGCCCAGGGGGGUCUUGUCCUUGGCUGUCAGAAAGCCAUGGUCCCACCUCCCAGAAGCAAAGAAGGAAGCAAAUUUUAAGUAUUUAUUUAUUUUCCAGAGGCCUUGGAGAAGAUUGUGAUAGCCCUAACCAGGUGGUUGCUAUUUCAUUCCAGACUCUGACCCCAAAGCCUGGAUGUGCUUGCGAAGCACAGAAAGGGCAUGAGCUGGAACUCUAAGACAAUGCAUUAGAUUUCGUUCUCCAUGUGGCUUGUCGACACCAUCUUGCCAGGUGGCUUGGUUUUUAACUCCAUUUCUACUUAGACCACAUUUCUGAUCUGGGAGGGAUGAACAAGGCCUACCAGCUUCAAAAGGAUACUAAUGCUAAUCCCCAGUUUGAAUCUCUUCUGCCUAUGGGAAAGCCAGAUGUGAUCAGAUCGAGAGGUCACCUCAUGCCAAGGCAGUAACCCCCAUUGGUUCUUGAGCUGUGAGACCCAUUAUCUGGUGUCUUCUCUCAGUGCUGCUGAAUGCAUUUUACCUGUAUUGAAGGAAUCACUAAAAGAAAUGAACAAGAGUGAGCUGCAAACUUCUAAUGGUUGUUAAUGGCUGGGUCUUUGCAAUGCAAAUGUAGAGACCAGCCUGAACAUUACACAGUCAAGUCGGCCUGGAGAAAGUACAUUCCAUGCAAGGUAGAAAUGAGAAGAACACGUU